ensembl:lncRNA
UUUUUCCUUUUUUUUACCCUUGCUUACAAUCCAACGGUUGCGACCACUUAUGCAACUGGGCUGUGAACCUUGCAAUUCUAGUUGCAUAUUUGUACACACAAGCUUGUCCAUUUCUAUCGCCAUCACUAACACUAGCUUCAGCAUUUCCUUGUAGGCCAUUAGCUGACUUGUGUAUUGGAGCAAUGAUUUGGGUAUUUUAAGAUGCUUGAAAACCUAAAAUAAAGCAAAAUGCGUGUCUGAUGUGCAAGAGCCAAUUUGUUGGCUUGCAGUAGUCGAGGAGUUGCCGUAGGUCGUAAGCCAUCUGGAGGUUGUGGCAAUGGAGGCUUGUGGUAGAUCUGCCAUCCAAGAAAGGUUGUGGCAAUGGAGGCUUGUGGUAGAUCUGCCAUCCAAGAAAGGUUGCUUCUUCUGAAGCAUGAUUAAUAGUUUAGUAAAUUUAAUCUAUUCAUAUAGAACUAUAAAAUCCAAGACUGCAGCCAGUAACUUGGAUCGCAAUAUGUGGAAAGUAUCAGUCUUCAUUUGUAACAACAGAAUAAUUAACAUGACUAACUGGGUUUCUUCCAUUUUCUAACUAGGGGGACUUGACUGGUGAGUCUACUGGAUUAAUCAGUAGCGGUACUUUGCCCAAAAGAUUUGAUGGCAUGACUACAGGGUAACAAAGACAAUUAUUCCCUGCCUAUCAAAAGAGACUUCUAAAACAUAUCUGCUAGAACAGUUCCUAUACUUUUUGUAUAAUUUGGUCAUGCUGCAAAUUUACUUUUUGUAGUUGCUCCAUGUUUAGUUCUUGGACAGCCUCACCUGCUAGAAAAGUCUAUUCAAAUCGGCUAAAUAUAAUGAACUAAAUUAAUAGCCAUGAAAUGUUGUCACUCAUACUAAUGGCAAAUACCCCUUUCAGUUGGUGGUUCAACACUGAUGUCUCUCUAGGCUUGAGGAGAGCUCACAAGUAAAUUACACGAAUGUCCUGGAGCAAUUGGGAAUACACUUUUAUUUAGUCUACCUGACCAGGGACAUCUUUGAACUAUAGGUCACCUAAGCCUAACUUUUCACUCUUGUUAUGUUGUCCUUUUCUCUUGUUUUAACCCGAAAGGGCUGAAAAUAUCAACAUUUCAGGUAUUCUGUUUGGAUAAUGUGCAAAACUUGUGGCUUCACUAAUAAAAAAAAAUUAACAAA